rnacentral:rRNA from 1 species
CGCGCAGGCGGCGUCUCAAGUCGGAUGUGAAAUCUCCUGGCUUAACUGGGAGGGUGCGUUCGAAACUGAGGCGCUCGAGGUCAGUAGGGGGGAGUGGAAUUCCCGGUGUAGUGGUAAAAUGCGUAGAUAUCGGGAGGAACACCAGUGGCGAAGGCGGCUCCCUGGACUGCACCUGACGCUGAGGCGCGAAAGCGUGGGGAGCAAACG